GAUGAAGAACGCAGCGGAAUGCGAUAAGUAAUGUGAAUUGCAGAAUUCAGUGAAUCAUCGAAUCUUUGAACGCACAUUGCGCCCGCCAGUAUUCUGGCGGGCAUGCCUGUUCGAGCGUCAUUACAACCCUCAGGCCCCCGGGCCUGGCGUUGGGGAUCGGCGGAAGCCCCCUGCGGGCACAACGCCGUCCCCCAAAUACAGUGGCGGUCCCGCCGCAGCUUCCAUUGCGUAGUAGCUAACACCUCGCAACUGGAGAGCGGCGCGGCCACGCCGUAAAACACCCAACUUCUGAAUGUUGACCUCGAAUCAGGUAGGAAUACCCGCUGAACUUAAGCAUAUCAAUAAGCGGAGGA
rnacentral:misc_RNA from 1 species